rnacentral:rRNA from 1 species
UCCUACGGGGGGCAGCAGUAGGGAAUUUUCGUCAAUGGGCGCAAGCCUGAACGAGCAAUGCCGCGUGAACGAGGAAGGUCUUCGGAUCGUAAAGUUCUGUUGAAGGGGAAAAAGAGCGGAGAGAGGAAAUGAACUCCGAUUGAUAUUACCCUUCGAGGAAGUCACGGCUAACUACGUGCCAGCAGCCGCGGUAAUACGGAGGGUGCGAGCGUUAAUCGGAAUUACUGGGCGUAAAGCGCUCGUAGGCGGUAUGUCAAGUCAAGGGGGAAAUCCCCGCGCUCAACGUGGGAACUGCCUUUGAAACU